rnacentral:rRNA from 1 species
UGGUCUUGACAUCCCGAGAAUAUCUAAGAAAUUAGAAGGUGCUUCCUUACGGAAGAACUCGGUGACAGGUGCUGCAUGGCUGUCGUCAGCUCGUGUCGUGAGAUGUUGGGUUAAGUCCCGCAACGAGCGCAACCCACGUCUUUAGUUGCCAUCAUUAAGUUGGGCACUCUAGAGAGACUGCCGGUGUCAAACCGGAGGAAGGUGUGGAUGACGUCAAGUCCUCAUGGCCUUUAUGACCAGGGCUACACACGUACUACAAUGGCAUGUACAAAGGGCAGCUAACUCGCGAGAGUACGCGAAUCCCAUAAAGCAUGUCUCAGUCCGGAUAGGAGUCUGCAACUCGACUCCUUGAAGCUGGAAUCGCUAGUAAUCGUGGAUCAGCAUGCCACGGUGAAUACGUUACACGGGCCU